rnacentral:rRNA from 1 species
AUUGAACGCUGGCGGCAGGCUUAACACAUGCAAGUCGAGCGGAGAUGAGGUGCUUGCACCUUAUCUUAGCGGCGGACGGGUGAGUAAUGCUUAGGAAUCUGCCUAUUAGUGGGGGACAACAUUCCGAAAGGAAUGCUAAUACCGCAUACGCCCUACGGGGGCAAGCAGGGGCGCUGCGGACCUUGCGCUAUUAGAUGUGCUUACGUCGGAUUAGCUAGUUGGUGGGGUAAAGGCCUACCAAGGCCACGAUCUGUAGCGGGUCUGAGAGGAUGAUCGGCCACACUGGGACUGAGACACGGCCCAGACUCCUACGGGAGGCAGCAGUGGGGAAUAUUGGACAAUGGGCGGAAGCCUGAUCCAGCCAUGCCGCGUGUGUGAAGAAGGCCUUUUGGUUGUAAAGCACUUUAAGCGAGGAGGAGGCUACCUGGAUUAAUACUCUAGGAUAGUGGACGUUACUCGCAGAAUAAGCACCGGCUAACUCUGUGCCAGCCGCCGCAGUAACAC